UACGGAGGGGGCUAGCGUUAUUCGGAAUUACUGGGCGUAAAGAGCGCGUAGGCGGUUUAUUAAGUUGGAAGUGAAAGCCCAGGGCUUAACCUUGGAACUGCUUUCAAAACUGAUAAGCUAGAGAUUGAUAGGGGAUAGCGGAAUUCCUAGUGUAGAGGUGAAAUUCUUAGAUAUUAGGAGGAACACCGGAGGCGAAGGCGGCUAUCUGGAUCAACACUGACGCUGAGGUGCGAAAGCGUGGGGAGCAAACAGG
rnacentral:ncRNA from 2 species